CGUUUUUUUAUUUUUUACUUGAACAUCAUUUCUUAUUUUGUGAUAUUUAAUGGAAAUGACAUCCAUUAUAACCAAUAGCAAGUUUGAAACUAAGCUCCCUGCCAACCUCCCUACAGACUAUUUAUGACUUCAAUCUAUCUAUCUAUCUAUAUCUAGGAUAAGCAUUUGUAAUCAUAUUUGUCUGUGAAAUCUUCCAUUAAACUGAUGGCUUUUUAGCCGUAAAAAUGCAUCUUGACGAGGAGUUAUUUGCAGUUUGACUAAUUGCUUUUGUUGUUUCUUUUGUAGGCUUUGAAAAACCUGGCAAUGAAUUAUUCUGGCUGAGUUCUGUCGCUUAUCAAGCAAAAAUCUGAGUUGCAAUCAGAGUUCUUCAAAGAUCUCGACAAAUACACUCCUCGCUUCCUGGAGAAGUUCAAAACCCAGAGGGGGAAAGUGUCGGACAGAAACUUGAAUAUCUGCAACAAGUCACACCUGGGAGUACAGAUGUGACUGGGAGGUGAACAGCAGUCCUCCGUGGCUCUCCCGUCAUCCUUGGAGAUGACAACGCAGACUUCUUCAAGAAUUUGACUCUGAUGACCUUCUGGACGUGUCCCACACCUCCAUUGGGACCCUGACGGUGCUGAAGACAUCGUGGCCUCUCCUCAAUCGCUGGACCUGGAGUCUACAGCUACUGCCAUCGUUUUGGGAGGAGCAGUCGUGAUGGUGACCGUGAUAAUCUUCCCCGUGCCGUGUGGCUACUCUUCGGACUUAUUUACCCCUGAAUUUGGAGUAUCCUCAACUAGUGAGGAACACCUUCUGAAUUUAUUCAUAGAGUGCUUCUCACUUGGACCAAAAACCCUAAAAUACAAUCAUUCAAAAAUCUACUGAUGCCAUAAGGGACUGUGUUCAUGAUGUGCAGUCAGGCCCGAGAACUUCACCCUUCUAUCUCCAAUUGAACUCUUUUCUAGAAAAUGUCUGUUUUUGUUGUUUUUCUGUCGUGAAAUUUAGCAAAUGCCGAAAACGCUGUGUUCAUCAUAUUUCUGCGUUACAAAACCUAAUCUGGCAACAUGUUCAGCGUUUUAGGCACGUUGUUUGAGUUUUAAAACAUGUGUUUUUCUUCUAAAUAAACGUCUUCCAUUGUAA